rnacentral:rRNA from 1 species
CGUACAAGCAGUCGGAGCCGGCAAGGGUGACGGCGUACGUUUUGUAUAAUGGGUCAGCGACUUACUGUGCGUGGCGAGCUUAACCGUAUAGGGGAGGCGAAGGGAAACCGAGUCUGAUAAGGGCGCAUAGUCGCGGGCAGUAGACCCGAAACCGGGUGAUCUAGUCAUGGCCAGGGUGAAGGUUGAGUAACAUCAACUGGAUGCCCGAACCCACGUCUGUUGCAAAAGACGGGGAUGAGUUGUGAUUAGGAGUGAAAAGCUAAUCGAACCCGGAGAUAGCUGGUUCUCCUCGAAAGCUAUUUAGGUAGCGCCUCGUGUCUCACUCCUGGGGGUAGAGCACUGUUUCGGCUAGGGGGUCAUCCCGACUUACCAAACCGAUGCAAACUCCGAAUACCAGGAAGUGCAAUCACGGGAGACAGACGGCGGGUGAUAAGGUCCGUCGUCAAAAGGGAAACAGCCCAGACCGCCAGCUAAGGUCCCCAAAUCAUGGUUAAGUGGCAAACGAUGUGGAGCGGCACAGACAGCCAGGAGGUUGGCUUAGAAGCAGCCACCCUUUAAAGAAAGCGUAAUAGCUCACUGGUCUAGUUGCUCCGCGCGGAAGAUUUAACGGGGCUCAAACCAUGUACCGAAGCUGCGGAUGCGUAAUUCCUUCGGGAGUUGCGCAUGGUAGAGGAGCGUUCCGUACGCCUGCGAAGGUGUGUCGUGAGGCAUGCUGGAGGUAUCGGAAGUGCGAAUGCUGACAUGAGUAACGAUAAAGCGGGUGAGAAUCCCGCUCGCCGUAAGCCUAAGGUUUCCUGGGUAAAGGUCGUCUGCCCAGGGUUAGUCGGCCCCUAAGCCGAGGCAGAAAUGCGUAGGUGAUGGGAAACAGGUUAAUAUUCCUGUACCACCGGAGAAGCGUUAUCAGCGAUGGGGGGACGCAGGAGGGCAAGCCAUCCGGGUGUUGGAUGUCCCGGUAUAAGCCCGUAGGCGGGAACGGUAGGCAAAUCCGCCGUUCCAUCUAACGCCGAGAGGUGAUGUGGAGGGAGUAAUCCCGCAAACUGGCCUAUCCCAGACUGCCAAGAAAAGCCUCUAGUGAGUUUUUCGGGUGACCGUACCGCAAACCGACACAGGUAGGCGAGGAGAAAAUCCUCAGGCGCAAGUGAGAAUCAUCGUUUAGGAACUAGGCAAAUUGGCUCCGUAACUUCGGAAGAAGGGGUGCUCCGCUUCGUGAUCCGGUUUACCCUGUGAGCGUCGAGGAGUUGCAAUAAAGAGGCUCAGGCGACUGUUUACUAAAAACACAGGGCUCUGCUAAGUCGAAUACGACGUAUAGGGUCUGACGCCUGCCCGGUGCCGGAAGGUUAAAGGGAGAGGUUAGCCGCAAGGCGAAGCUUCGAACUGAAGCCCCGGUAAACGGCGGCCGUAACUAUAACGGUCCUAAGGUAGCGAAAUUCCUUGUCGGGUAAGUUCCGACCUGCACGAAUGGCGUAACGAUUUGGGCGCUGUCUCAACG